rnacentral:rRNA from 1 species
UACGAAGGGGGCUAGCGUUGUUCGGAUUUACUGGGCGUAAAGCGCACGUAGGCGGAUUGUUAAGUCGGGGGUGAAAUCCUGGAGCUCAACUCCAGAACUGCCCUUGAUACUGAGGAGCUUGAGUCUGGGAGAGGUGAGUGGAACUGCGAGUGUAGAGGUGAAAUUCGUAGAUAUUCGCAAGAACACCAGUGGCGAAGGCGGCUCACUGGCCCGGUACUGACGCUGAGGUGCGAAAGCGUGGGGAGCAAACAGG